AACCAUGUUGUAUACCCAUGCGGUUAAAUGGUCGUUUUCUUCCGCUCUCUUCUGAUGAAGCCACCUGUGUCUCGCCGGACAAACGAGUUCCGUCAUCACGACUUUCCUCAUUUUCUUGAAUUGUUCCCCGAACGGAGUGAUCACGCAGGUUUUGUAUCCGUUAGAGAGGACGUUUUGCGCGUAAGUCAUAGGUCUUGAGGCGAAGAGAGCGUCUUGUUGCUUGAGUAUCUCACGUGCUAUCUUAGGGCAUGUGACGGUGAUUACGUUAGUGUUUCCUAACCUCACGCAUGCUAUCUCAGUGUUUAGCUGCUUCAUGAUGCUGUGGAGCCACCGGAAAACUGGACGGCUCUUUAGCAUUGCUGGAAUCAUGCCGAUGAUGGGCCAUCCGGUAGGUCCAGGUGGGAGAUACAAUUUCUUUUUAUUAGGAUUAGUGAUCAUUUUCUUGAGAAGCAUCACUAAGGUUAUAGCCACAAAGGCUUGAAGAGUCGUGAGGAGAUACAUGUUGCUGAACGACCAUGUUUGCCUAGUAGUGGAAGUAAGAUCCGAAGAGUUUGAGGUAAAAGUGUUCAUGUUUUUGGGCUGAGGAUAAAGAGAGAGAAAAGAAGAAGAAUAUAAAAGCUUGUUGUGUUUCUUGUUCUCUCUGCAUGGAUUAGGGCCGCACCUUCCUAUUUAUAUGAUUUUGGUUUCUAUGAAUGACCAUUAUACCCUGUAUGUGUUGGAAAAUUCAAAAUAGGAAGGGGUGAGGAAAAUGGUGGGCGGUGUAAGUCGGGUCCAUCUUGAGUACUACCACCAUUUUUUAAAAAUUAUUACGAUUCUAACCGUUCCAAAUGUCUAUAUUUUAUCAGAAAAUGUUUGUUUAAUUAUAAAGUUUUGGAUGGGAAUUUUAAAUAUUCUAACUGUUUUUAUUGGUGACCUGCCAAAAUUCCUCGUGUUAUAUAUGCAACUAAAAACCAGUCGAACAACAAGGUGAGUCUUAGAGUUAUAUAUUAUUCCUCUGUGAUAUUAUUUGAGGAGCUGGAGUUAUAUAUGUAACUCCUAAACAGAACCAAACUGUGACAUAAGUUAUCGAACUUAUAAUAAUAGUUAGAUCCUAGAAGCCUAUGGUGCAUUCGUUUAUUAAUGAACACACAUACGCGAAUUUGAAAAUUGAAUGGUGAUAACCUGAUAUAGUUAUGAUGACACUAGUAACAAAUCGAUAAGCUAAAUAAUCUGGUCCAUACAUUUAUAUUGACUAAUCGUGUUAAUUCACAAAUAAAAACCGACCAAGGUUGUUUUACAUAUUUUUUUUUUCUUUGAGAAACAGUGUUACAUAUAUUUUUCUAAGCUGAACCCAACUUUUUAGUAGUUGCACAAAAAAAAAAAAAAAAACCCAUGAUUGUACCGAUCCUGCGUAUGUUUUCGGUACGAUCCUCAGCUUUGAAAGUGAGGUCCCGGUUAAGACCAUGACGUACAUUGUCUCCGUCAAGUGUGUAAGUAAGUUUGCCUCUUUCGAACAGAGCUUUACUUAAGGCACAACAAUUUUUUUUUUUUGAUUGCAACUUUGUGUUAUAUAUAAAAAAUAUGUAACGUGAUUAUUACCUUAAUAGUGGGUUUGAUUUCAUCAGCGGUAAGCAAUGGGUUGCCUUCUUCAUCUUUGAUCGAAAUGAAAAUAUCUAGAAAAUCCUCUAUUUGAGUUCUCUUUCCUUCUUUCCACAUUUUGAUCCUUCCAUCAAUGAUAGGAUCGUGAUACUUGUCCAUAAUAGCACUUGAAUCUCUCAUGAUCUUCUCGUGACCGUUAAGAUCAAGUCCCGUGAGCAUAGGUAGAUAAUCAGAUAUACAAAAAGCAAACGUAAAGCCUAAUGCUUCAAACAUAGCUUCCAUAUGAUCGAUAUCCUCGGCGGUUGGCCCACCGUCCGCUGCAGUGUUUUCAGAGAACGUUCUUGUCCCGAACAUAAGUUUCUUGAUAGCAUUUCCGCAGUAAUGCCUUGUCACAAACCGGAAAUCGACUGAGCCCGAGUUCUUAACCAUGUUGUAUACCCAUGCGGUUAAAUGGUCGUUUUCUUCCGCUCUCUUCUGAUGAAGCCACCUGUGUCUCGCCGGACAAACGAGUUCCGUCAUCACGACUUUCCUCAUUUUCUUGAAUUGUUCCCCGAACGGAGUGAUCACGCAGGUUUUGUAUCCGUUAGAGAGGACGUUUUGCGCGUAAGUCAUAGGUCUUGAGGCGAAGAGAGCGUCUUGUUGCUUGAGUAUCUCACGUGCUAUCUUAGGGCAUGUGACGGUGAUCACGUUAGUGUUUCCUAGCCUCACGCAUGCUAUCUCAGUGUUUAGCUGCUUCAUGAUGCUGUGGAGCCACCGGAAAAC
rnacentral:lncRNA from 1 species